rnacentral:misc_RNA from 1 species
GAUGAAGAACGUAGCGAAAUGCGAUACUUGGUGUGAAUUGCAGAAUCCCGUGAACCAUCGAGUUUUUGAACGCAAGUUGCGCCCGAAGCCUUUUGGCCGAGGGCACGUCUGCCUGGGCGUCACGCAUCGCGUCGCCCCCCACAAUUCUCCGUAAAGGGAACGUGUGUUUUGGGGGCGGAUAUUGGUCUCCCGUGCUCAUGGCGUGGUUGGCCGAAAUAGGAGUCCUUUCGAUGGACGCACGAACUAGUGGUGGUCGUAAAAACCCUCGUCUUUUGUUUCGUGCUGUUGCUCGCAAGGUAAACUCUUUAAAAACCCCAAUGUGUCGUCUCUUGACGACGCUUCGGCCGCGACCCCAGGUCAGGCGGGACUACCCGCUGAGUUUAAGCAUAUCAAUAAGCGGAGGA